UUCCACAGUAGCUCAGUGGUAGAGCUAUCGGCUGUUAACCGAUCGGUCGUAGGUUCGAGUCCUACCUGUGGAGCCAC
rnacentral:tRNA from 1 species